AUUGUCCCAACGUUUUACGAUUCGAUUUAUAUUUGAGAAAUUUGCUCUAUUGAAGCAAAUAUCAUGAUGAAGUUUGGAAGUCUUUUCCUAAUGGUGUGUGUUUUGUUUGUUCUCUUGAGCCACACUUCAGGAUCUCCUGCACCUAUUGGAGAUGCAGAUGAUGGUGGCCCCUUUUGUCCUAGAAGUUUUACUUUUUUCGGAAAGUGCAGUGAGUCUCCAACUUGUUUCGACGAACUCAAUGCUGCAUUUGGACCAAGUGGCAAGGUUCAUCAAUGUACUUGUAAACCUCUUCUUGAAAAUCGACGAAUUUGCACAUGUUUAACCAUAUGUAAAUUGUGAAAAAUAGUCAUUUUUGUAACGAACUAAAAUAUAUAAGUGAGAUAUCCCAAGUGCUAAUCUGUGCUUUACAUUGAUAUUUCAAUAUAUGCGCCUCUGCGACUAUAAUUAAAAUAAUACAAUAAUAUUCAAAUAUAUGAGUUGAUAUAUUUUA